ACGCCUAAGUAUUCCCUCUCAAAUUUUCACUCCUAAGUAUCAAUUCCCUCUAAAAAGCAGAAAACACAGCAGCUUCGCACCGCCACCUGCCGCCCCACCCGACCGUCGCGCCACCUGACGUCCCACCCCACCCCACCGUCUCUCCACCUGCCGUCCUACCCCACCCCACCGUCGCACCAACGGUCGUCCCACCCCACCAUCGCACAACUGACGCCUCCGCCACCAAGCCCUCCGCAGCGCCAUCCUCUGACUCCCUCUGCUGUCGUCGACGACGAGGAAGAUUAUGAUGCAUGCUUGAUGGUUAGAGUGGAGACAAUGAAGAGGCAUCUUCCUUUAUCUGGACUAGAGGGAGCUCUGGAAAUCGAAAUUGUUGUAUAAACUUGGCACUUUGAGACCGUUUGAAGCAAUGAAAUUUAUUUACUCACAUGAAGGAAAGUAGUUCUAUUUUAUGUCUGUUGUUGUUGGUUGCAUUCCUUAUAUAUCAUGUAAAUGUCAUUGAAGCAUUUCUAUAUAUUUCUAGAUUUCAACUUCUUUAGUUGUAGAAUUUCCACAAUUGCCUUCGUUUUGGCUUCGACUUUGGGUAAUAAUUGCUUCAACUUUGCUCGAUUUUCAGUGUGAUUUAAAUUUCAUUUUUUGUGUUAGGUGCUGAGAGGUGGACAAAAGUGUAGAGUUGAAGAAAUUGGGAGCAAGGUACUCCAUCAAAAUUAAAAGUGGAAAAAGAAUGUUUCUCGCCAUACCCUACAGCAGCUACUCCACCAGCUGUAACUUAUGACUGAAAUUAAUCGAGGCUUUGCUGUUCUGAGGGACAUUGCGCCCGGAAAGGCUUUGCUUCAAGGUAACCAUCAUGAGUUGUAUGCUGAAUCUAGAAUAAAUAUUACUAGUUCUCGUUGCCUUAUGGUGAUAAUAGGUCUCUGAACUAGAAGGAGCAACUAGGUCACGUCGUGCAAUGAUUUUGAGCAACUCCAGAGUUGCAGAUGGUGCCUCUGAUAUUCUGGCUUUCAUAAGGCUUCUUAGAUAAGGCUUCAGACUUGCGGUGUUGGUAGGUCUUCCCUUCUAGUGCCAAUCUAAUCUAUAUCCUAUCAACGCCGGUUCUGCUCAUCUCUAUCUUAUAGUGUAAUAUAUGUGCUGCAAAGAAAAGAUAAGGUUGCAGCAAGGCACUAAUGAAGCCAAAUCUCCCACUGUAAGUGAUCAAAUCUCAAAUUUGAUCAAAAACUCAACCAAAAUACAUUGCAGAAGCAGAUUUUUUGGUUAAUUAGUAAGUUCUCUUUCCCUUUUUCAUCUUUCUAGGGAUUCUUGAAUUGAAGCAGAAGGGUGUUUUAGAAUUGUGAUGGCCAAUAGAGGUCUCCCUUUUUCUAAUAUUCUCUUAAUGGUUUAUCAAUUCCAGUUGUGAUGUUAAUCUCGAUGUUGUUGUUAUUGAGUUUCUAAUACAUUGUGCUUGUGUUUUAUUUCAACGCAAUUGUGUGGGAAGCAAAAUUUAUACUGUUUUGCUCAUAUAAUUAUGCUGGAUUGGCCACUGUGAUUAUGACUUUAGUAGAAGUUGUUUAUCUAUAUGCUAUUGUUGUAAAUUGUAGGAAUUAAUGCACCAACGUCGCAGUCGUUCUUGAAUUAUGUAUUAUUGGUAUUGGUCUAUAGAAGCAUUAUGCUCUAUUGAAGACGACCUCUGAAGGUUUGUGGUGGAUUAAAUGAGCCGUACGUUGAGCUGAAGAGGCUUGUGAAUUCACAAGAAAUGUUGUACCAUAUGGCUAGCUAGUUGCAUAUUUAAUAUGUUUAGUAUUUUUGUAAGGCAUAAUAGUAUAGAUAAAGCAGUUGUUGAAUUUUGGCUAUAUUCAAAUCUUGUAUGAAUUCUUUUUUAUGAUAAUAAUAUAAAAUUAAAUAUU